UACAGAGGUCUCAAGCGUUGUUCGGAUUUACUGGGCGUAAAGGGCGCGUAGGCGGCCACUGCAAGUCAGUUGUGAAAUCUCCGGGCUUAACCCGGAAAGGUCAACUGAUACUGCAGGGCUAGAGUGCAGAAGGGGCAACUGGAAUUCUCGGUGUAGCGGUGAAAUGCGUAGAUAUCGAGAGGAACACCUGCGGCGAAGGCAGCUCGCUGGGACGUUACUGACACUGAGGCGCGAAAGCGUGGGAGCGAACAGG
rnacentral:rRNA from 1 species